UCGUUGAUUCAUUUAAAAAAAAAUUAGUUCAAAUAAAUUUCAAUCCAAUAGACAGCAAUUGCAGUUGCACUAUCGUUAUCGAUCAGCUCGAGAAAAAGAUAGACGAUAUAAAAGAUGCCAUGCAACAGUAAAUUAAGGUGGUUCGUGGUAAGGAUACUGUUGCUGACCAACAAUUUAAAAAUAUAAAAUUACAUAGAUUUUGAAAAUUAUUAAAGUCAACUGCAAAUAGCAAUUGAAGCACUGGCCGAUAAAAAAGUUGUCCUUAAUCAACUUCUGCAACAGCGUGCAGAGGAGCUGCCUAUCUAGUCCAAAUUCCCCAUAAAGAACGAAGAGCAGCUAAUAAGUUUAAAUGACCAGCUCAACAGAGAAAACAAAAACACUUAUGUUAAAGCUAUGAGAUCGCUGCUGCAACCUACCGGCAUUUUGAAGAAUUUACGAAAUAUUUUGGGCGAUGAAAUAGCAAUGGCAUUCAAUGUCGAUGGAGUGCAGGGCCGAAAGUCCUCAAAAUCCCUUCAAAACUUUUACGACGCACUACUGGACUCCAUUCCGUUAAAUAAUGGGAAUGGUACUGCAGACAAAAAACUGCAUAAAGCAAUAUAGUUGCAAAAAAACGCAUUUUUAAAAGCGCUUGAAUGUCCAAAGACAAGCCACAGCAUCAGCAGACACAAUACUC